ACCCGCAUUUUACCUUGUUGCUUCGGCGGGCCCUCCUUAAUUGGCCGCCGCGGGGCUUACGCCGCCGGGCCCCGGCGCCCGCCGAAAGACACCCUCGAACUCUGUCCGAAGAUUGUAGUCUGAGUGAAAAUAUAAAUUAAUUAAAACCUUUCAACAAACGGAUCUCUUGGUUCCGGCAUCGAUGAAGAACGCAGCGAAAUGCGAUACGUAAUGUGAAUUGCAAAUUCAGUGAAUCAUCGAGUCUUUGAACGCACAUUGCGCCCCCUGGUAUUCCGGGGGGCAUGCCUGUCCGAGCGUCAUUUCUGCCCUCAAGCACGGCUUGUGUGUUGGGCCCCGUCCUCCGAUCCCGCCGGACGGGCCCGAAAGGCAGCGGCGGCACCGCGUCCGGUCCUCGAGCGUAUGGGGCUUUGUCACCCGCUCUGUAGGCCCGGCCGGCGCUUGCCGAUCAACCCAAAUUUUUAUCCAGGUUCACCUCGGUAUCAGGUAGGGAUACCCGCAGAACUUAAGCAU
rnacentral:rRNA from 1 species